rnacentral:tRNA from 1 species
GUAACCUUCGUCACCGUCGGUUCCCGCAACCAAGCUUUUUUUUUUUCUGAAGGGCUUGCGGUUCAUUAUACCAAAUUCAGUGAACU